UUAAAAAAAAAUUUUAUACCAGUGCUAUCCUUAAGCUGGUUUAUUUUUCAUAUAAAGAGAUGUCCAGUUUGAUGUAAAUAGCAAUAAAAAUUUCAACAUUUGACUUGUAGUUGAGUUAUCACGAUGUGAAGUUGUGUGAUUUUUCCGGAAUUGAGAAAUUUCCAUCAAAUUCUCACAUUCAAAACAAGAUUUAGAUAUGGCCGCACGCAAACAACACGAUAAAAAUUUAAUAGAUUGUUUAAAAUUGCACAAUAAAUUAUUUCCCAGAGUAUCAUUCUGUUGUUUGCAUGCGGCCACCAUGAAAAAUAUAUAAAACGAUGUUUUUUUAGGCCGAUUUUGAUCGCUUCCGGUUUCGGUUUUUAUAUUCAGACGUAAACAACAGGUGAACAAAGUUGGAGGAAACAGAAAAUGUGACAGUAGAUUUAUCGAAGUUCUAACCAUUUAACAGGAUGCCUGGAGAUGGUCCAAAACAAUAUCCUGUUACUGGAGCUGUUACUUGUUGGUAUUGUCAGUGUCGUGCCCAUGUGGCCUCAGUGUUGUGGUUUCUUGGCUAUGAAAGACACACGAACUUUGCAGUAAGACCUAUUCAAGACUGGGCUGACUACCUUGAGGAUGCAGCUGUGCAACCUGCAGUAAUGGAUGGCUCAACAGAAAGUGAAAUGAGUGCAACGGAAGAGUGACAUGAAUUGUGACAUUGGUUUAUUGAAAGUGAACAUUCUGCAGAUUAUAGGUGUUUCCAUAUGAAUGAAAAUUUUCAAGAGGGACGUUAAACAAUAUACAAUCAAUCAAUCAAUCUGCAGGUUAUGAUAUCCACUGCAUUAGACUCCCAUUAUUGUUUUCAACAAUAUAGUGGAAGGCUGUGUAUAUAUUGUUAUUAAUUAAUAGUAAAUAGGGAUUUUUAUGUAUCUAUGUUUUUUUUAUGUUUAAAUUGUGAUUUCUUAACAUCUGUCAUAUAAUUGAGAAAUUAAAAUAUAGUACAUUGUACAUCCCAAAAACAUAUUAGAUUCAUUGCAUGAGUUUAAUAAGUUCGGUUGUAAAUAUUGAAAGAUGAAUUAUGUACUUUGACAAAUGAAAUAAUUUGUUAUUAUCGUAUGAUUAAUUGUUAUCAAAAUUAAUAUACUGAUGUAAAAUGCAUAAUGCAUCACAAAAUGUUUCUCAGAUAAUAGUAACAAUUAUAGUUUAUUAUGCAGUGUGUUUAUUUGCAUAUUGAACUUUGUUAAUAAUUAACAUGACUGUAUAUAAGUACGUGUUAUUUUUUGUAAUACAAUGUAAUUACAAAACCUUUCCAGACAAACAUGUACUAGAAUAACUAAUUCUUUGAUGCUUAGGUCAUUUUUAUGACAUUGUGAGGAUGAUAAACAUUAUCUUAUUAUGAGUAAAUGUAGUGUAUAAGGCAUGAGUGGUGUGAUGUUAAACUUCUAUGAUCUUUUUGGAAAAAGUAUAGGUGGGUAAUGGGAGUUCUGGAAUUUGUUUAUGCAAACUGAAAUCCCUUAUUGUUAUUUUUGUCAAGUUUAAUGAAUUGUUAUUAAAAAUGUUAGUUGAAUA